UCACACAUCACUGCAGAGCUGAGAGAGAGGCAGCAGAACCCCUCAGACACAUAAAUACAUGCCAUGCUGAAACACAUGGGAAACAAGAUAGAAGGAGAUUGGGUCUUAGCUAGGGAACUGGUGUCCUAGAAGCUUCGGAGCCCUAGAAGUUGUGUUUAAUUAUUAGCUAAUUGGCUGGGAUGGAUCUCAUUUGUAACAGAGGAGGAGAGAAAGGAUGGAAGGCUGUGGUUGGUGGAAGAGAAGCUGAUAAUCUCCUAUUAAAGGUGGCAGAAGAAGGUGUUAGCUUGCUCUGUAGGAGGUAAUGUGUAGACUUUCUGAGAUGUUGUGUGGUGAUAGCUAGAGCUUAUCUAGGUCUGUGUCUUAAGAACUGGAGUGUGUUGCCUGUAACUUGUCACAAAUCAGACUGCCUUGCCUACAGAAGAGACUUUGGAAGUUGCCUGCUGUUGUGUGUCAUGCUCCUUGGAAGACAGGAGUAAGUCAUGAAGAAAACCAUACCCCUGUGCAAAGCUGACGUGUCACUCUGCCCUGCCUUCACCUAGAUUCUGAGGUCAAGCCUCCAAGCUGAGGCCAGGAGAGGGAGAAGUAUGAAGGACUUCACACUUGACUGUGGAGCAGAAGACAAGAGCUGAGGAUGAAAUCCAACUUGGGAUGGAUAAAAUGCUGGAGAGGAGAGCUGGUCCUUCACAAGACCCUCCAGACCACCUCCAGGCAGCAGCUGACAUUGCUUAUAGCCCUAGCUGAGAUAAAUGGCAUUCCAGCACUUGCCAGCAGCCCACUGCUGCUUCUCCUUUUACAACUGUUGCCUCAUCACUUGAAGCAGUUUAGCCUCUUGCAUUGGCUUUUUGAUACUGGAAAGCAGAAGAGCUGAGUCAUCCCCUGAGGAGACAUUUCCCACAGCAGAUGUUAUGCCAUGCGAUCCUGCUAUCUCUUGCAGUCGUUGCUGGAGGAGCUACCGUGUCACUCCAAGGCCUGAGUGAAGAUAAUACCCUCCCAUUCCUCCAGUCACCUCACUACAGCACAGAUAAACUCCCCACUCAGCCUUUGCUGCAGCACAAGCCACAAUAAAUCCUCUCUCUUUGGAAGCAUCCCUGCCUGUACUGAGACCUUGCCUUUGAAAGAUCCAUCACUAGCACUAAUGCAAAAAAAGAAACAGAAGUUGAUGUCCCCAGAUGGCUGGAGUCUGUUAUUUCUUCAAAUAUAAAGAAGUCUGGGGCUAAUCUGACAUCCUCCCAGCUCAACUCAUCAGUGUAAUGCAUGUGGAUGGACCCAUGCAGAACCAGUGCUAGAACCAGCAGAGAAGCUACUUUUCCUGUCUACAGACCAGCUGAAAUUUAUGUGUACCAGCUCAACACACAGCAGAGGCAAAAAAGUCAUCAAUGAACCAACCAACCAAAGCAAAGUCCUGCCAAAAGCAUCAAAGGCUGAAGCCUGGGAGGCAGCGGUGGGGGAUGCUCUCGGCGCAGAUGUGCAGCACUCACAGCUCAGAGCUCCUCAGAGCUGACACUAUCGCUAUAAAGGCUGAGUCCCAGCAGUUUCCUUUGGACAGCCUGCUGCUGGGGAGUAUGUAUCUUAAUAAAUGUUUCUCUGUUGUUACCUAAUCUGUUUACUUACUGGCAUGAUGUGUAUAUUGGGUAUUACGAAAUGGUAUCUGGGAAAAGUAGUACACAUAUAUUUAACAGAAGCCUUUUUGAGCCCAGAAAAGUUAAACCUCUCUGUUCAGGUUUCCCUCUGGGUGCUCCAAAACAGCAGCCAGAGUUACAGCAAGUUAUGUAUAUGUGCUGUCCUAUAUGAAAGGAGCUACAUUCAUAUCCUUCAUUCUCAGCCUCCACCUCCUCCUAUUCAAUUUACAGUCUAGACUGUUUAAAAAUACCUUUUUACUGCUUUCUUUUUUCUAUGGGGAAAAGGCACUUGUGAGACAAUGCACUUAACUGGAGAUUACAAAGGUUUGUUGCAUGUUGGUGCAUGAUAAUAGGAGAGGUUCCAAUAUAUAAUAAACUGUGAGGGCAUAAAUUGCAUAUUAUUAAACCUUUGAUGGUGGGCUGUUAGGAAUUCCCAGUGCAAUGUGCCAUGCCGCCUUUUACAUCAGCCCUAACAAUGACACUGCCAGACUCGUUGGCUCCAAGGGGUUAAUUAUACAUUAUGGAUGAAAACAAUGCAAGGAUGCUUGUUAAUACUCAAAUCAUUGCAUGGUAACCCUGGGUGACUCCCUUACUGCUCUGCCAAUUUGCAACAGUCACCUGGGGCAAGAUAGGAAAAGACUUGUCAUUCCUCACCCCUUCCACUCUCUUCCCCUCCUCUUUACUGGUUUUCCUUCCUAUUUUCAACAUCAAUUUGCUUGUCAAGGUAGCUGACAGGUGAAAUGCCUACCUGGUUAUUGAAAUUGUAAGGUCAAAAGAAAUGGAAUCCAUCUGUUAGGGAUGAUAAUUUACAGCUGAUGCUCAUCCAGAGCAAACAGAAAUGAGGGUCAGGUGAGGUAGGCAGGGGACUACUUAUGGGACUGAUAAAGCAGGACGUGAAAAAGAAGGUCAGGGAGAGUGUUUUGGUCCUUUUUCUAGCUAGUGGUGAUGAUCAUGAAACCUUGGCUCUUAGCCACAGAACUGUGUGAGAAAGCUAGAUGAUGUCCUCUGAGGCACUGAGAAGGGGUAGGCUGCUGUCCUUCUACUGCUAUCCUGACUCCAGGACCUUGAGUGCCUUUUAGCUGCCAGAAACCAGUGCUGCUAUCAGAAUGAUGAGCUGAGGUAAAGUGUCUCUCUAAAUGUUGGAAACCAAGUGGAGGUGUCAUGCCAUGAAGGGUUUUUGUUGAACUUUUGAGUUCUCUGUAUGUUUCAAAAGACUGUAAUGAACCACAUUAACUCUCCUGAACCUGGGCUGAAGCAAUCCUUUCAGCAGUUGCAGCCUGUGUGUCUUUGUUCUUCCAAAAACAGCUGCAGUGAAAUGGAACUCUAGAAACUCUACUCCCAGCUUCCUUUCCUGCUUUGGGUGAAACCUGUCCCCCUGUGUAGUUAUAAAGCUGUACUGAUUCUCUCUGUUUCUGCUGAUAAGUUUUGUUCCAAGGACACAGCCUGAAUGUAACUAAACUAUCUGAAUUAGCAAAGAUCUCUAAGCACUGUCUCCAAAAGUCUUAUUGCUGUGUAGGUCUGGGAUACUUUCAAGAUGAAACUGGAGUUGAGUAGUUGAGCUAGGACACAAGUAGAAAAUCUUGGUAACAAACUUCAUAGCCAAAGGUUUAAUUCUUCUGUCCCUUUUAAUGAUGUGAGAGUUGUCUGGGAAUAUCCUGUCCUGGGAAGCCCCUUGGCUGUUGGUGUGGGGGAAAGCACUUGCUUGGGCUGAUCUGAGCAGUCUCUCAACAUGAGUGAUUUUUUUUUUGGCUUGUGUAGUUUACAGAAUUGGUGUUACUGGUGUCUGUGUUGCUCAAGCAAGAGUGAAUUGAGCACCAGUGUGUGCAGAUCCCAAUGACUAGUUAUGGAGUAAUUAUUCUUCUUCUAGAAGUCAAGGAGCAUUGUUGGUAUGUCUGUGUCCCUCUUCCCAAGCAGCAACUAACCCCUGCCAAAAUCCUGACAAGGCAUGUCUUACAGUCCCUUCCCAGGCUAGAAUGAAUUCUUAAUGGCUUAAAGAGGGGAAAAACAGCUUGGGGGUAGGGGGAGAAGCCUAUAGUAAAUAAGACUUUGACCUUAUCUGAAGUAUUCCUGUGCACUGAAUCUAACCAAGGACUCUUGAAUAAAACAAACUUGAAGUUUCUAGGCCAAGUAGGUUUUGAGAUAUGACUCUACAAUAAAUUCUUUGAGGAAUAUUUCUAAGGCUGAAUUGCCCCUCAUUUUUCAAAGUCCCAUAUCUCACAAACACCUUGUCUGAUCUGCCACAAAUUUUGUCAAUAAAUUAUCCCAUACUACUGAUAGUGUAUGCAAAGUUUUGUGCAAGAAAAAAAAAGCUGCAAGAAUCUUAGGUUUUAUCUUAAACAUUUCCCUGUCCAGGAGACACCCUUUCCUCCCCUCAUGACUGGCUGAGCUUUUAGAGGGGCUACUAUAGGGAGAAAAUACCAUUUGUAAACUCCAAACUGGUUAAUGCUGGAAAGUCGUGGAGCUUCUGGUCUUGGUCAUCUUCCCAAAACCUGGGGCUUGCAGGAAUGGAAUGGUGGAAAGCUGUGGCCAGUUCUGAAUGAGGCUAUGUGGUUGCUCUGAAAGGCUUCAUCCAGCAGCUGAAGAGGUGAUUUGAGGCUAUGAUGCCUCCUGCCUAAUAGCUGCCUGUUCCACCUCUGUGGGAUGAGAUGCUCUCUCUGAGCCAGGAGGUGAGGAAGGGGCUGCCCUGGCAGUGUGGCACAGCCCCUGUCCUGUGGGAAGCAGGGCUGAGACAGACCUUGCACCCCUGCUCCAUGCCAGGGAGCUGAGCAUGGCCUUCCCUUGCAGGCAGUGAGACUGUCUGUGACCACUGUUGUAGCUCCCAUCACUCCCAGUUCUGCUUUCCCAAGCAUUAAAGUUUGAAAGGUUUGUACCACCCAUGUCAGAGCAGUAAAGGGAGAGAAGGAAGUGAUCUCAGCUUUUGGAGCAUGCUAUUUUCAGGUUCUUUAUUAGUGGGAACUUGGAUAAAGCAGGAAGUUAGAAGCUAAGUGUUUAUAAACUUCUCUAGUUCAUGGAUGAACUCCAGGUAAAAGCAGAGCAAAGGAAAAGGCAAGAGGAUCUGAGGCAGGAGUGACAAAUAAGGCUAGGACAGUGCCUUAGCAGGGGAUCGCUACUGCUUAGUGUCAUACUCCAUAGUUUUUAUUCAGAAUAAUUAAUCUCAAGGCAUUAUGUCUCUCUAGCAAAUGCAGUCUUGGAGGAUGGGCUUGAUAAAUCUGUGCUUCUGUUUCAGAGAUGUGGAUAAGCACUUUUUUUUUCUUUUCCCACAUUUGUACACUUGCAAAGAUAAGUCUCUUCUUUUCUACUAUCUGUGUUUGGAUCCACGAGGGAGUUAUUAACUGCACUGGCAGCACUCUCCUGCAACAAUGGGACAAUGACCCUGUCCUCCUAGUAAUUUGUUCUGUGACAUU